rnacentral:misc_RNA from 1 species
GGUAAAAUAUUUUUUGAAUUCACCUCCUUCAAACCACCAUAUUUUGGUAAAAUGUUUUCAAAAUUACAUAUUCUCCUUAAUUGAAUUUUCUUUUAAUAUAUUUUGGUCAAUAGCCAGGAGAAUAGACUUAGAAAUCCUCCUAAUGAAAACUACUAUUAUUUUAACUAUAGCUUGGUUGUAGUUAGUAGUAAAAACCUAUUAAUGU